rnacentral:rRNA from 1 species
CGGGAGGCAGCAGUGAGGAAUAUUGGGCAAUGGAGGCAAAUCUGACCCAGCCAUGCCGCGUGCAGGAAGACGUCCCUAUGGGUUGUAAACUGCUUUUAUACGGGAAGAAACCCAACUACGUGUAGUUGGCUGACGGUACCGUAAGAAUAAGCACCGGCUAACUCC